CGCACGGGUGAGUAACACGUAUCCAACCUGCCGUCUACUCUUGGACAGCCUUCUGAAAGGAAGAUUAAUACAAGAUGGCAUCAUGAGUCCGCAUGUUCACAUGAUUAAAGGUAUUCCGGUAGACGAUGGGGAUGCGUUCCAUUAGAUAGUAGGCGGGGUAACGGCCCACCUAGUCUUCGAUGGAUAGGGGUUCUGAGAGGAAGGUCCCCACAUUGGAACUGAGACACGGUCCAA
rnacentral:rRNA from 1 species